AAUAUGCUUGCUAUUGCUGUAAAUUGGUACCAUGUCGGUUGGUUUUGCUUGGUAAGAUUUGUGACGAUGCGUCGGACAAACAACAUUGGGAAAAUAUACAGCCUUGAGCCUUGAUGACCAAUGUAUAUCUCUAUUUGAGGAAUUCUCCAAAGAUCCAGAGCCGACUGUUUCAUAGAGCUGUGAAGUUGCGUUAAACAUACUGGAUUUUGAAUGAUCCGACAAACCAUUCGAGGUACUUGGAAGAUUAAGUCUCUUAUCUGGGUAAUUGUUACAGGUUUAGGAUGUUAAAUGAUUUUGGAUGUACUCUGCGAUGUCGAUGAUGCAGAGAUGUUGGUGAAGCUCAGGUUCGAACAACUUCAUGUGUAUAUUUUAUUAUAAAAAAGAAAAGUUUUUUUUUUGUUUCAUGGGUCGUUCAGAGAGGC